AUUCCUGUAGCGCAAUGUAUAGCGCUUUGGACUUCGAAUCCAAAGGUUGUGGGUUUUAAUUCCAUCUAGGAUG